UUCACCUUUUUACUAAAGCAACACGAUGGCGGUGAGCCCGGGUGCGAGGGCCCGUUCAUCGCUGCUUGCAGCUUUAAUUGUAUUUAUUUUGGCGUUAAACUGCAGCUAGCUCUCUGAAAACCUAAAAUAUAUAUUUAUAUGGUUAUUUAUUUAUAUAAAUCACAAUCUAUGUGAUUUUAUAACCACACUAAGCCACGUUGCAAUUCUGGUUUUAUCUUGAUUCUUCAUGCAGCCAUAAUUGAGUUCUUCUCUUAGUUUUAAGAGCUGUUAUAUAUUGGCACAAGCUCCUCCAUGUACUUGUAAAUCUGUUCACAGGCUCCAGCGUCCCUGAUUUUGUUGUUUGACGGCUGCACAAGCACGUCUGUUCUUCUCCGCCUGUUGUUUUUCGUGGGGAAUCUGCGCGCGUGGAGACCCUCUGCUCAGGUGGCUGAAGCUCUGAGGCGGAGGCAGGACUCUCUGUUCUGUGUUUUACUGGACAGCUCCUCUCAGCUGCACCGUAAACUGCCCCUGCUGCUGUCCCAUCCAGACGAGGAGGUGAAGUCACAGGUGGCCAGACUCCUCACAUAAGCUCUUACAGAACAUUUUUUACCAAAUAUACCCGUUCUUCAUUGUGUAGAAGCUUGUUUACCUAGAGCUCUGCACUAACAACCUACUGUAGCUUCAAACCCUUGCUGGAACAGUGUUGAGAUCUACAGGUAAUGGAUGAGAAAUGACUCCCUCAGGCAUUUGGAGUGAUUUUUGUUCCUAUACUAGACAUUUGUGAACACCACAGACCUCGUUCGAGAACCUUUGAGGACAUCUUCACUGCCUAACAUUUUCUUGUCCAAGUGAGUGCAGGUAUUUUUUCUGACCACACUAAGUGCUUUGGAUAUCCAGACUAGUGGUGGAAAGGACUCUUGUAACAUCUCAGCAUGUCUAGAAAUCUUAAUGCCUUGAAAAAUAAGUGUUACUUCAGUGCUGCAUAAUGCAAGUGAAGUUUACUACUAAAAAACGUUAUUCAGGUUACGCUGAUGUAGUAAUGACCCAGGAACCUUAUUUUUACAGAAUGUGUGCAUUGAUUGUACUGUGACUGUUUUCUUAUGCUUGAUGAUGAUAUCGACAGGGCCAGCGAGCGAUGCAUUAUUUAAGAGAUAUUGUUUUAUAAGGCAAUUAUAAUACAGUGGUUAAUAUUUGCUAUGAUUUCUUUUAGGAAUGCUUUUUGGCUUUUAUAUCAGAGAUUUGUUUAUUUGGGGUUUGUUUUGUAAGUCCAGUUCGCUCACAUAUUUACCGAGAACUGUCUGUCAUUCGAGACUGUGGAAUGACAGAGAAGAGCAUGUGCUGAAAUGACACUGAAUCUAGAGCCGCGAAGAAGAAAACUCGACUCAGAAAAGCAAGAUUGUCCAGCGGUUCUCUAGGUUUCAUCAGGCUGGUUCAUGCUGUGACAGGGUUUGUGUAGCUCACGUUCACUCAGAAGUCGGCGAUGCUCACACUCACUCCUGUUUCCUGCAAACAAGCGGCUCCUACACACCGAAACACCCGCAGAGAAAAUGCAGCUUCGGUGAAGAAAUAUGAGAUAAGGACCCAUGCAAGACCAGCAUAAGUGCUGAAAAUGAAAUAGAGGCCCAAAAAAUCACAAAUAAUUAUAAGGUUUGGAUUCAGGAAGUGCAAGAUUCAUGUGACAAAGCGUCUCUUUCAGGACAGGUCGGACACUGUGGGUUCAUCGUUCACUUGUGGCAACGUUCUCUAUAUGUUUCUCUUCGGCUGGUGGAUCUCUGGAUUAUGUUUUUGUUGGACUCCUAAUGCUCUUCACAGUUUUUGGCAUCCCGUGUGUGAAACUCUGUUGGAGGUUGUCCUGCUAUUUUCUAUGGCCAUUUGGAAAACUCCUCUACUACUACUAUAAAUACACAGUGGAUGGGAUCAUUGUGUUUGUUCAACAUUACUCCAGUCUUCAGCCUCACAUGAUCCAUCAGAAAUCAUUUUAAUAUAAUGAUUUGAUGCUCAAAAAUGAUCAAUUAUUGUUGACCUUUUACAUCACGCCGUUGCUCCGAGGUCAUCACCAGGGGAAUAAGGGCCUGCAGGAGAUCGUGAAGGCGGCUCUCACUGGAACCCUCCUCUUCAUACCAGGGAUCUGUGUGAUAAUCACGGGGUUCAGGCACAGGAGCAGAGGUUUAACAGUCGCUCUGCAGGGGUCCGCUCCUCUCUGCUCUUCAUAUCAACAGGAGGUUUGGGGGUUGUGCUGUGGCUCUGGAAGGGGAUGUUAAUGGCUCCGGUGCUGGUCUGCUCGGGCCAGAUGGGAGACUCGUGCUGCAGGGGCGUGCGUCUGGGGUAGAAGGUGUGCUGGAGGUCAUAG